GACGAACGCUGGCGGCGUGCUUAACACAUGCAAGUCGAACGGUGAAGCCUUUCGGGGUGGAUCAGUGGCGAACGGGUGAGUAACACGUGAGUAAUCUGCCCUUGACUCUGGGAUAACUUCGGGAAACCGGAGCUAAUACCGGAUAUGACGCAUGGCCGAGUGGUCUGUGUGUGGAAAGAUUUUUUGGUCAGGGAUGAGCUCGCGGCCUAUCAGCUUGUUGGUGGGGUAANGGCCUACCAAGGCGACGACGGGUAGCCGGCCUGAGAGGGCGACCGGCCACACUGGGACUGAGACACGGCCCAGACUCCUACGGGAGGCAGCAGUGGGGAAUAUUGCGCAAUGGGCGAAAGCCUGACGCAGCGACGCCGCGUGA
rnacentral:rRNA from 1 species